rnacentral:lncRNA from 1 species
UUUCAACCUUUGCACUUUUUAGCUGUCUCUUUCAGUCUGCUGUGACCUUUCUUUAACCGGAUGUACUUUGCAGCCGGUGCAGUCAAAAGGACAUUGUUGGGUGGAGUGGGGUCAAAGCUGUUCUGACACACACUGAUGCCUGGUAGUUUUUCUGCCAGGCUGAAGAUGAGAGUUUGAGGGACCAGCUCAAGAGGAUGUUAUUGCUGCUUUCCAGUUGUACUCAGAAGUUGGGAUAUCCAAGCUCUGAGUUGGAAAUUCAUCUGGAUCACACCCUUAAAGUCGCAUUUAAGUUGGUAAGUUGGACGAUCCAAACCAACUCCAACUUGGCGACAACGUCAUAAAACCAAGAUGGCAGCACAGUGCAUCAUCAGUAAAGAGUAGCAGUGAAAGCUCCCGUAAUGUAUUAUCAGGGCUCUCAAGUCUCACGCAAUCAGCGUGAGACACACGCAUUCCCACUCGUUCACACGCUCACACGCCACACAUCGUAUUUCUCACGCAUUUAAAUGAACACGGUGAUGUCCACCAAGUUGCACCUCUUUAACUAUGGAACAGGUAGGAAUCAACUGAGUUUCUCCGAGAGUUCAGAAGCUGCGUGCCACGCGCAAGCCAAUCAAAUAAAGUAUAUCUACUGAACAGCCAAUCAAAAAGCAGCAUUGCUGUAUCCGGGUAGAUUUUGAUAUCUUGCGGUUUGACUACAGAAGAAGACAGACACUCGCCGUAAUAGAGCAGGUUAUUUAUAAGGACGAGAUAGACCCGAUGAUUACAGUAAGUCAGUAACCUACACAUGCAGAGACCUCAACACCUCAUAGCAUAUAAACUCAUAUGAUAAACUAAAGCCCUAUGCUAUUGCUAUUAACAGCUGUAUUGAUGGAUUUAGUCUCUGUACAGCCAUUUCCAGCCAUUUUCCCCUCCGCAAAAGCAGCAUUUCUCAUAUAUCUCAAAUAUAAGCUCUGAUACUCAUGACAGUGUAAUGCUCAUGUACCAAAGGAUUAAGGAUCUCCAUGUUUGUGACACCUAUACUAAAGUACAAUUCAUCUAAAUGUUCCACAGUGCUGAUUUUAACAACUCUCCUUCACAACAGGUAACUUUACGACUUAAUACUGAGAUAUUAAUGACUUUAUUCUCCCAAAUAAUAACUUUAUUCUUUGAGAUUAAAAAGCGUUUUUUUUCUAAUUGUGCCCCUUAUACUCCGUUGUAUUUAAGAGAUAAUUAUACUUAUAAUUACCCCCCCCCCCCCCCCCCCCAGGAAAUCUCACUCUAAGCUUAGUUCAAAACUUGAGAGCCCUGGUAUUAUUUAUUAGCACUUCUGUUUUGUUUUUGUGAAAUUAAAUAAGUGGUAUAUGUCGUACUCCUCAAUGUUUUAUUGUGAACACAGUGCUAUGGUGUUUGUAAGAGUAAAAUACUGUGUUAUGCGUAGUUUACAACUGGUAUAGCUAACAACAACUAACAACAGCUAACAACGGCUAACAACUGCUGACAACUAACAACAGCUAACAACGGCUAACAACUGCUGACAACAACUAACAACAGCUAACAACGGCUAACAACUGCUAACAACAACUAACAACAGCUAACAACGGCUAAUAACUGCUGACAACAACUAACAAUAGCUAACAACGGCUAACAACUGCUGACAACAACUAACAACAGCUAACAACGGCUAACAACUGCAAUCGUAGAUGACAGCUAAAAAUGGCUAACUGUAGGCAUCCAUCUUGGUUUUCCAACUUGUUAGCUGGAAUGUCUCCAACUCGGGUGUAAAGUCAUUCCCAGCUCCGACAUCCACCUUCCGAGGUAACUGGAACGCAGCAUAAGUAUGCUUGAAAUUUUUGGUGGGUGGGGCUUAGCUGGAGACAAAACAGGCAUUAAUAUUAAUGUUUUAUAAACAUCAAAUAACUCCUAACAGGAGGUUUCAUGAAUGUUUUGGGCAUCACAUUUUCAAAUAAGUUUCUUUAGCUUGUCAUACAUUCUGCAUUAUUGACUGUACAAUAACACCAUCAGUCUUUACCUACAGGUUCAGAGGCCUUUACAGCUGAUCCAUAACCAAUACCUCUAAUCCAAGCUUCUUCUCUCUAAUCUCUCUCUUAUUUUGGUUUUACCCUCUCUACCCUUGGAUUUCUCUCACAGGCUGUAAAUUUUAAAUGGUGAGAACUAUAACUCUAGAGUCCAGGGAGGC